rnacentral:rRNA from 1 species
GUUAAGCGACUAAGCGUACACGGUGGAUGCCCUGGCAGUCAGAGGCGAUGAAGGACGUGCUAAUCUGCGAUAAGCGUCGGUAAGGUGAUAUGAACCGUUAUAACCGGCGAUUUCCGAAUGGGGAAACCCAGUGUGAUUCGUCACACUAUCAUUAACUGAAUCCAUAGGUUAAUGAGGCGAACCGGGGGAACUGAAACAUCUAAGUACCCCGAGGAAAAGAAAUCAACCGAGAUUCCCCCAGUAGCGGCGAGCGAACGGGGAGCAGC